rnacentral:tRNA from 1 species
GGUGGGCUGGCUGAGUGGUCGAAAGCGGCGGUCUUGAAAACCGUUGGGUGUAACAGCCCCUGGGGUUCGAAUCCCUAGCCCACCGCCA